GACGUAGGAUGCAAGCGUUGUCCGGAUUUAUUGGGCGUAAAGAGUUCGUAGGUGGUUCGUUAAGUCUGAUGUUAAAGACCGAGGCUCAACUUCGGGACUGCAUUGGAUACUGGCGGACUUGAGUGUGGUAGAGGCAAUCGGAAUUCCAGGUGUAGCGGUGAAAUGCGUAGAUAUCCGGAGGAACACCGGUGGCGAAGGCGGCUUCCUGGACCGACACUGACGCUGAGGCGCGAAAGCUAGGGGAGCAAACGGG
rnacentral:rRNA from 1 species